GACGAACGCUGGCGGCGUGCUUAACACAUGCAAGUCGAACGAAGUGGCGAACGGGUGAGUAAAGCGUAAUCAACCUGCCCUUCAGAGGGGGACAAAAGUUGGAAACGACUGCUAAUACCGCAUACUGAAGGAGGGGAUUGCGUCUGAUUAGCUAGUUGGAGGGGUAACGGCCCACCAAGGCGAUGAUCAGUCGCCGGUCGGACAGGAUGACCGGCCACAUUGGGACGGAGAAACGGCCCAGACUCCUACGGUAGGCAGCAGUGGGGAAGCUUCCGCAAUGGACGAAAUUCUUACGGAGCAACGCCGCGUGAGUGAGGACGGCCUUCGGGUUGUAAAGCUCUGUUAAUCGGGACGCGGUACCGGAAUAGAAAGCCACGGCUAACUACGUGCCAGCAGCCGCGGUAAUUC
rnacentral:rRNA from 1 species